CCUACGGGGGGCUGCAGUCGAGAAUCAUUCACAAUGGGGGAAACCCUGAUGGUGCGACGCCGCGUGGGGGAAUGAAGGUCUUCGGAUUGUAAACCUCUGUCAUGUGGGAGCAAAUUAAAAAGAUAGUACCACAAGAGGAAGAGCCGGCUAACUCUGUGCCAGCAGCCGCGGUACUACAGGGGUCUCAAGCGUUGUUCGGAAUCACUGGGCGUAAAGCGUGCGUAGGCUGUUUCGUAAGUCGUGUGUGAAAGGGGCGGGCUCAACCAGCGGACGGCAGAUGAAACUGCGAGACUAGAGUAAGGGAGGGGGAAGCGGAAUGCUCGGUGUAGCAGUGAAAUGCGUAGAUAUCGAGAGGAACACUCGUGGCGAAGGCGGGUUCCUGGACAUUAACUGACGCUGAGGCACGAAGGCCAGGGGAGCGAAAGGGAUUAGAUACCCCAGUAGUC
rnacentral:rRNA from 1 species